UACGGGGGGGGCAAGCGUUGUUCGGAAUUACUGGGCGUAAAGGGCUCGUAGGCGGCCAACUAAGUCGGAUGUGAAAUCCCCAGGCUCAACCUGGGAACUGCAUCCGAUACUGGAUGGCUUGAAUUCGGGAGAGGGAUGCAGAAUUCCAGGUGUAGCGGUGAAAUGCGUAGAUAUCUGGAGGAAUACCGGUGGCGAAGGCGGCAUCCUGGACCGACAUUGACGCUGAGGAGCGAAGGCCAGGGGAGCAACGGG
rnacentral:rRNA from 1 species